GAAUGCUGACAUAAGUAACGAUAAAGCGGGUGAAAAGCCCGCUCGCCGGAAGACCAAGGGUUCCUGUCCAACGUUAAUCGGGGCAGGGUGAGUCGACCCCUAAGGCGAGGCCGAAAGGCGUAGUCGAUGGGAAACGGGUUAAUAUUCCCGUACUUGGUGUUACUGCGAAGGGGGGACGGAGAAGGCUAUGUUGGCCGGGCGACGGUUGUCCCGGUUUAAGCGUGUAGGUGUGUGUUCCAGGUAAAUCCGGUUCACUUUAACACUGAGGCGUGAUGACGAGGCACUACGGUGCUGAAGUAACAAAUGCCCUGCUUCCAGGAAAAGCCUCUAAGCAUCAGGUAACAUCAAAUCGUACCCCAAACCGACACAGGUGGUCAGGUAGAGAAUACCAAGGCGCUUGAGAGAACUCGGGUGAAGGAACUAGGCAAAAUGGUGCCGUAACUUCGGGAGAAGGCACGCUGACACGUAGGUGAAGUGAUUUACUCACGGAGCUGAAGUCAGUCGAAGAUACCAGCUGGCUGCAACUGUUUAUUAAAAACACAGCACUGUGCAAACACGAAAGUGGACGUAUACGGUGUGACGCCUGCCCGGUGCCGGAAGGUUAAUUGAUGGGGUCAGCGCAAGCGAAGCUCCUGAUCGAAGCCCCGGUAAACGGCGGCCGUAACUAUAACGGUCCUAAGGUAGCGAAAUUCCUUGUCGGGUAAGUUCCGACCUGCACGAAUGGCGUAAUGAUGGCCAGGCUGUCUCCACCCGAGACUCAGUGAAAUUGAACUCGCUGUGAAGAUGCAGUGUACCCGCGGCAAGACGGAAAGACCCCGUGAACCUUUACUAUAGCUUGACACUGAACAUUGAGCCUUGAUGUGUAGGAUAGGUGGGAGGCUUUGAAGUGUGGACGCCAGUCUGCAUGGAGCCGACCUUGAAAUACCACCCUUUAAUGUUUGAUGUUCUAACGUGGACCCGUUACCCGGGUUGCGGACAGUGUCUGGUGGGUAGUUUGACUGGGGCGGUCUCCUCCUAAAGAGUAACGGAGGAGCACGAAGGUUGGCUAAUCCUGGUCGGACAUCAGGAGGUUAGUGCAAUGGCAUAAGCCAGCUUGACUGCGAGCGUGACGGCGCGAGCAGGUGCGAAAGCAGGUCAUAGUGAUCCGGUGGUUCUGAAUGGAAGGGCCAUCGCUCAACGGAUAAAAGGUACUCCGGGGAUAACAGGCUGAUACCGCCCAAGAGUUCAUAUCGACGGCGGUGUUUGGCACCUCGAUGUCGGCUCAUCACAUCCUGGGGCUGAAGUAGGUCCCAAGGGUAUGGCUGUUCGCCAUUUAAAGUGGUACGCGAGCUGGGUUUAGAACGUCGUGAGACAGUUCGGUCCCUAUCUGCCGUGGGCGCUGGAGAACUGAGGGGGGCUGCUCCUAGUACGAGAGGACCGGAGUGGACGCAUCACUGGUGUUCGGGUUGUCAUGCCAAUGGCACUGCCCGGUAGCUAAAUGCGGAAGAGAUAAGUGCUGAAAGCAUCUAAGCACGAAACUUGCCCCGAGAUGAGUUCUCCCUGAGACUUUAGGUCUCCUGAAGGAACGUUGAAGACGACGACGUUGAUAGGCCGGGUGUGUAAGCGCAGCGAUGCGUUGAGCUAACCGGUACUAAUGAACCGUGAGGCUUAACCUUACAACGCCGAAG
rnacentral:rRNA from 2 species